ACAUGCAAGUCGAACGAGAAUCUGCUGAAGGAGGAUUCGUCCAACGGAAGUAGAGGAAAGUGGCGGACGGGUGAGUAACGCGUGAGGAACCUGCCUUGAAGAGGGGGACAACAGUUGGAAACGACUGCUAAUACCGCAUGAAGCAUAGGGGUCGCAUGAUUCUUAUGCCAAAGAUUUAUCGCUUCAAGAUGGCCUCGCGUCUGAUUAGCUAGUUGGCGGGGUAACGGCCCACCAAGGCGACGAUCAGUAGCCGGACUGAGAGGUUGAACGGCCACAUUGGGACUGAGAUACGGCCCAGACUCCUACGGGAGGCAGCAGUGGGGAAUAUUGGGCAAUGGGCGCAAGCCUGACCCAGCAACGCCGCGUGAAGGAAGAAGGCUUUCGGGUUGUAAACUUCUUUUAAGAGGGAAGAGCAGAAGACGGUACCUCUAGAAUAAGCCACGGCUAACUACGUGCCAGCAGCCGCGGUAAUACGUAGGUGGCAAGCGUUGUCCGGAUUUACUGGGUGUAAAGGGCGUGCAGCCGGGUCUGCAAGUCAGAUGUGAAAUCCAUGGGCUCAACCCAUGAACUGCAUUUGAAACUGUAGAUCUUGAGUGUCGGAGGGGCAAUCGGAAUUCCUAGUGUAGCGGUGAAAUGCGUAGAUAUUAGGAGGAACACCAGUGGCGAAGGCGGAUUGCUGGACGAUAACUGACGGUGAGGCGCGAAAGUGUGGGGAGCAAACAGGAUUAGAUACCCUGGUAGUCCACACUGUAAACGAUGAAUACUAGGUGUGCGGGGACUGACCCCCUGCGUGCCGCAGUAAACACAAUAAGUAUUCCACCUGGGGAGUACGAUCGCAAGGUUGAAACUCAAAGGAAUUGACGGGGGCCCGCACAAGCGG
rnacentral:rRNA from 1 species